ACGGAAAAGAGUCUCUAGCCCUCAGCUAUCAGUGAUUCACACUAAUUUGGAAAUGCUCCUUGCAUAUAAAAUUUUCAUGAAGAGACACACGUGCAGUGUUGGGCCCAGUGCUGAGACCAACACGCAAGGGACAAGGACAUACUGGAGCAAGAAAGGCCACAAAGGUGUCCAAGCUUUUCAUCAGACUGUUCAGAGAGGGUGUAGAAGUCUCCACCCUGGGGAUACUUCCAACCUGACUGGACUCAUUCCUGGACAAUCUGCUCUAACUGAUGCUGCUCUGCACAGGGCUAAUAUUUUCAUUGCAUUUUGUGUAUGGACAUGCAUAUAAACAUAUGUGAUCAGGACACCCUAUGCCCACAUAAAAGGAAUGGCCACUGCAAAUGAAAGGGGCUUGCCAAAUUUACACUGAAGAAAAAAGAUAACACAGUCUUACGUGUAUUAAUUUUCUUAACUCAUUAAAGCUGUUCUCAGUGUCUACUACAUAUUUUGCAGCA